rnacentral:ncRNA from 1 species
CAGCUAAGUGGAAAACGAAGUGGAAAGGCUAAAACAGUCAGGAAGUUGGCUUAGAAGCAGCCAUCCUUCAAAGAAAGCGUAAUAGCUCACUGAUCGAGUCCUUCCGCGCGGAAGAUGUAACGGGGCUAAGUUGAUAACCGAAGCUGCGGAUUCAUACUUUUAGUGUGAGUGGUAGGGGAGCGUUCUGUAAGCCUGCGAAGGUGGAUCGUAAGGUCUGCUGGAGGUAUCAGAAGUGCGAAUGCUGACAUGAGUAACGAUAAAGCGGGUGAAAAGCCCGCUCGCCGCAAACCCAAGGUUUCCUGCUCUACGUUAAUCGGAGCAGGGUGAGUCGGUUCCUAAGGCCAGGCUGAGAAGCGUAGCUGAUGGAAAUCAGGUUAAUAUUCCUGAACCGGCGUUGAAUGCGAUGGGGUGACGGAGCAGCCAGAGUGGACCGGGUGUUGGAUGUCCCGGCUUCCGAGCGAUGGGUGCCUGCAGGCAAAUCCGCAGGCGUAUACCCAGGACGAAGGAUCGGGUCUUCUUUUGAAGACGAAGCCACUGGAAGCGCUUCCAGGAAAAACCUCUAAGCUUCAGUUCAACGGCGACCGUACCGUAAACCGACACAGGUGGGUGAGCUGAAUAUGCUCAGGCGCUUGAGAGAA